UUGGGAGCAUUGGGGGACUGCUCAGAGAUAAAUUGAUCACUGUAGGACCUUUGCUUUGUAUUUUUGGUGGGCUCAAAAGGUUGGUGGCUGCUGGGAUAUAUUUGAGGAGCUGGGCCUGAUUAUUUAGAAGGGCCCUUGAAUGGCCCGCUUGCAUCUGCUUCCAUUGGAGCGCCAGACAGUUUUGUUUCUUACAGAGGGAAGUGAAAAUCCCUGUUGCGCCGAAUCAGUCAGAGUGCAGUACGAGUAGUUAGGGCUUAGCCCCCAUUGGAGCGAUCUGAAAGCUUGGAUUGACUGAUGGGAAGGGAUUUACUGAGAAAUGUUAAAGCCUCUGCUGGUUGGGAUUGAGAUUUGGUGGGGAGGAAUUAAUUCCUAAUGUAGAUGGCUGGAGACUGCCGAACAGUAGCUCGCUGUGUUGGAAGCUCGCUAGGUUGGAGUCUCGGUACGUUGGAGAUUCACUGGGUUGGGGGCUUGCUGAUCUUGUGAAGGGGAAGUCUACACAGGUGAGAGACAACACCGAUCUUGGAGAAUGCCGACCCCGAUAUUUCCACAGAUCCUGGAGACCAUGGUUUGAGGAUGAGCAUAUGCCCCUUGAAGUUCCAUGGAGCUUGGUUAAGGACCCUUUGUUUAUCUUGAGCUGACUGGAAUGUGAAGAGGAAGAGGUUUGCUUCUAACUCUUCUAUGAGGAAUUUCUGUAUAAAAUCGCAUGCUGCUUUGAUACUUGCGUGUAUUGCAAAUUUGUUCAAUGGGCGAGCAGCUACAAGUCAUCCAACCAGUGCAAGCUCAGUAGUUUUUUUUGCUGCUGCAGUAGUUGGUACUAAGUUGAGGUCUUUCCAAGAAAAGAGCUUUUUGUUGGAUUAGUGAGUACAUUUCCGUAGGUUGUAUUAUUUUUAUCUGGAGAACGUUGAUUGUAUUUCUUUUAGGAGAGGGUUGAGUACUCCAUGAAGGAGUGGAAAGCCACUGUAGGGUGAAGAGAGACUCUAGAGAGAGUGGCGUGAAAAAAAGUCUAUCACCGAAUUUGAUAUCUAUAUUCUCUUAUUUCAAAACCUGCUGCAUUAGAGCUGAUGAUAUCAUAAAGCCUGAGCAGCACUGAAUGAGUGGUAAUCACUCUCCAGUAACAGAAUGAAGCACAGUGGCAGUGUUAUCUUCGUUUCUGGCAGCCUAAAACUUAAGCAAAACAUUGCCUGCAUGGUAAAGCAAAAUAAAGAAAACUGAAGGGUGACUAAGGCAUGCGUGUACGGCCUAGCUAUGGAGUUUGAAAAAAAAAAAAUAAUAGUUAAUACAACGAUAAGUUGUACUAAUUACUGAUACCCAGUCUGAGCCAUCAGCCACAAUAUCCCUAACCCUAUGAAAUAUUGGGUCUUGGAUUCCGGCAUUCAUCGCAGACUCUGCCGCCUGCAAAAUGGUUGGAAAAGAAGUUUCAAUUACAAUACAAAAGUAACAAGAAAUUAAGAGAACUUCGUAAGACUAGGUAAAUGUGGUAAGAGCAGUGCUCCUAGGGAGCCCCCCGCCCAACCCCAUCUACAUCAAAAAAUUACUGCAUGUCUAAUGAUCAGAAGGGUCAAUGAACUUAAAA